GGUGGGACAGAUGAUUAGGGUGAAGUCGUAACAAGGUAGCCGUAGGAGAACCUGCGGCUGGAUCACCUCCUUU
rnacentral:rRNA from 1 species